rnacentral:lncRNA from 1 species
AGGGAGGGCAGCUGGCCAGCAACUGUGUCUGCCAGGUCCACAAGUUCAUCGUCAACACCCUGAAAGACGGCAGGUAUGCGCUUCCUUAUCCACUCGCUUGCACUGUAGAGCGGGAACUACAGGUCGGAAGUUCAGGAAGGAGGUUUAACAAGGCAGCGAGGAGCUCAGCCGGAUGCAGACGAACAUUGCCGCCAAGGGAGGAGUAGCAGAGGAAACAAGUUGGAAUCCCAGAGAACAGAUUACAGUAGAUGUGUCAUUUCUUCAGCAUUACUGUAGUAUCUUCUAAGGAAGAGGUCGCUUACUACAACAAAAGAAACGUUUAAUUAUCCAGUCUGGGUCCUUUUUUUUUUUUUGUGAUCUUGAGUCUUCGGUAGUAAGUGUGUUGAGCUGAUAUAGAAUACGGUUAAGUACUUGCAAGAUGUUACAUGCUAGAAAUACAGUGUGAGCAGAACUGUUGUUCCCAUUUCU